UACGUAGGGUGCGAGCGUUAAUCGGAAUUAUUGGGCGUAAAGGGUGCGCAGGCGGAUAUAUAAGAUAGGUGUGAAAUCCUUGGGCUCAACCUGAGAAUGGCAUUUAUGACUGUAUAUCUAGAGUGUAUAAGAGGGGGGUAGAAUUCCAUGUGUAGCAGUGAAAUGCGUAGAGAUGUGGAGGAAUACCGAUGGCGAAGGCAGCCCCCUGGUAUAACACUGACGCUCAUGCACGAAAGCGUGGGGAGCAAACAGG
rnacentral:rRNA from 1 species